GGGGAUAUUGCACAAUGGGCGAAAGCCUGAUGCAGCGACGCCGCGUGAGGGAAGACGGUCUUCGGAUUGUAAACCUCUGUCUUUGGGGAAGAAGAUGACGGUACCCAAAGAGGAAGCUCCGGCUAACUACGUGCCAGCAGCCGCGGUAAUACGUAGGGAGCGAGCGUUGUCCGGAAUUACUGGGUGUAAAGGGAGCGUAGGCGGGGAUGCAAGUUGGAUGUUUAAACUAUCGGCUCAACCGGUAAUUGCAACCAAAACUGCAACUCUUGAGUGAAGUAGAGGCAGGCGGAAUUCCUAGUGUAGCGGUGAAAUGCGUAGAUAUUAGGAGGAACACCAGUGGCGAAGGCGGCCUGCUGGGCUUUAACUGACGCUGAGGCUCGAAAGCGUGGGGAGCAAACAGG
rnacentral:rRNA from 1 species